rnacentral:rRNA from 1 species
AUUGAACGCUGGCGGCAUGCCUAACACAUGCAAGUCGAACGGUAACGACGGGAGCUUGCUCCCGGGCGACGAGUGGCGGACGGGUGAGUAAUACUUAGGAAUCUGCCCAGUAGUGGGGGACAACUCGAGGAAACUCGAGCUAAUACCGCAUACGCCCUACGGGGGAAAGCGGGGGAUCUUCGGACCUCGCGCUAUUGGAUGAGCCUAAGUCGGAUUAGCUUGUAGGUAGGGUAACGGCCUACCUAGGCGACGAUCCGUAGCUGGUCUGAGAGGACGAUCAGCCACACUGGAACUGAGACACGGUCCAGACUCCUACGGGAGGCAGCAGUGGGGAAUAUUGGACAAUGGGCGAAAGCCUGAUCCAGCCAUGCCGCGUGCGUGAAGAAGGCUUUAGGGUUGUAAAGCGCUUUCACCGGUGACGAUGAUGACGGUAGCCGGAGAAGAAGCCCCGGCUAACUCCGUG